rnacentral:lncRNA from 1 species
CAGGUUCUGUUUAUGUGAUGGAUUAUGUUUACUGAUUUGUGUAUGUUGAACCAGCCUUGCAUCCUAGGGAUGAAGCCAACUCGAUCAUGAUUUUGGUAUCAGGAUGAUGCUGGCCUCAUAAAAUGAGUUAGGGAAGAGUCCCUCUUUUUUUUAUUGUUUGGAAUAGUUUCAGAAGGAAUGGUACCGGCUCCUUUUUGUACCUCUGGUGCAAUUCUUUCAGCCCUGUUUUACAGCUCACAGAGGUUAAUUAAUUGACCAGUGCCUCUGAUCUGGAAAGUGAUGGACUCAGGCUGAUAGCACAGGCAGCCUGACUCCACAGCUCAACUAUUAAACACUACUCUCAUCACCCCACAUGGCCUGAAUUUUCUGCUCCUGAAUUCAAACAUUAAAAUGGUGGUAUAUCAGUACUGGGAUUUAUGAGGACAAUGUGAUUAAUUUAAAUGCCUUUUGGAGCAAAUAGGAAGUAUCUUAUUCCAAUUUUUUGAAGAUAAAGUGCAUGGUCCUGAACACAACAGAACAGAAUGCAACUGAGGAAAUGGCUGUUGCAAUUCAGCAAGGUAAAAGAUUAUCUUACCCCAAGCUGGUUAAAGGCAGAAGCUAUGAAUUUGUGCUAUUGUCUGUGGGCUCCUUUCAGCUUUCUGUUUUUCUCAUGCAUGAGAAAAAUGCAUUUCAGCUGAAAACAGUAUUAUGAAGGAGAAGUACUUCAAAAUAAAACACUUUACUCAACCCAAAAGACUUACUAUAAGUUCUCAAACAGUAGCUGCCACUUCCAGCUGGGAGAGAAAUGAGAGCUCUGUUCAUGGUGAUUCAGUAUCUCCAGAAUCCAUCACCACUGCUGACCUCCCACUCCAUGUCUCCAAGUGCUCUGCUAUAUCUGCCACCAGCACCUGCCACGUCCAGACUUUGGAAGGUUAUAAUAAAACCUCUGUUCUACGAUCUGCCUUCUGCUUCGACAUCCUCACUCCCCACAAACAAUUCUAAUAAACAGCAAU